rnacentral:rRNA from 1 species
UGCGUAGGUGGUUUCUUAAGUCAGAGGUGAAAGGCUACGGCUCAACCGUAGUAAGCCUUUGAAACUGGGAAACUUGAGUGCAGGAGAGGAGAGUGGAAUUCCUAGUGUAGCGGUGAAAUGCGUAGAUAUUAGGAGGAACACCAGUGGCGAAGGCGGCUUACUGGACGGUAACUGACGUUGAGGCUCGAAAGCGUGGGGAGCAAACAA